rnacentral:rRNA from 1 species
UACGUAGGGGGCAAGCGUUGUCCGGAUUUAUUGGGCGUAAAGAGCGUGUAGGCGGCCAUACAGGUCCGUUGUGAAAACUCGAGGCUCAACCUCGAGACGUCGAUGGAAACCGUAUGGCUAGAGUCCGGAAGAGGAGAGUGGAAUUCCCGGUGUAGCGGUGAAAUGCGCAGAUAUCGGGAGGAACACCAAUGGCGAAGGCAGCUCGCUGGGACGGUACUGACGCUGAGACGCGAAAGCGUGGGGAGCAAACAGG